rnacentral:rRNA from 1 species
CAGUCGACGCUUCUUUUUCACCGGAGCUCGCUCCACCGGAAAAAGAGGAGUGGCGAACGGGUGAGUAACACGUGGGUAACCUGCCCAUCAGAAGGGGAUAACACUUGGAAACAGGUGCUAAUACCGUAUAACAAUCGAAACCGCAUGGUUUUGAUUUGAAAGGCGCUUUCGGGUGUCACUGAUGGAUGGACCCGCGGUGCAUUAGCUAGUUGGUGAGGUAACGGCUCACCAAGGCCACGAUGCAUAGCCGACCUGAGAGGGUGAUCGGCCACAUUGGGACUGAGACACGGCCCAAACUCCUACGGGAGGCAGCAGUAGGGAAUCUUCGGCAAUGGACGAAAGUCUGACCGAGCAACGCCGCGUGAGUGAAGAAGGUUUUCGGAUCGUAAAACUCUGUUGUUAGAGAAGAACAAGGAUGAGAGUAACUGUUCAUCCCUUGACGGUAUCUAACCAGAAAGCCACGGCUAACUACGUGCCAGCAGCCGCGGUAAUACGUAGGUGGCAAGCGUUGUCCGGAUUUAUUGGGCGUAAAG